rnacentral:rRNA from 1 species
UACGGAGGGUGCAAGCGUUAUCCGGAUUCACUGGGUUUAAAGGGUGCGUAGGUGGCUUGGUAAGUCAGUGGUGAAAGCCCGGAGCUCAACUCCGGAACUGCCAUUGAUACUGCUUAACUUGAAUCAGGUCGAGGUGGAUGGAAUAUUACAUGUAGCGGUGAAAUGCUUAGAUAUGUAAUAGAACACCGAUUGCGAAGGCAGUUCACUAGGCCUGUAUUGACACUGAGGCACGAAAGCGUGGGGAUCAAACAGG